rnacentral:rRNA from 1 species
GAUGAACGCUUGCGGCGUGCCUAAGAAAUGCAAGUCGAGCGGGGAUAGCAAUAUCCUAGCGGCGAACGGUCGCGUAACACGUAAGCAACCUGCCCCGAAGACCGGGACAACAGCCCGAAAGGGCUGCUAAUACCGGAUGUGGCCACUAAGAGACAUCUUUUGGUGAUUAAAGCGAUAAUAUCGGCUUCGGGAGGGGCUUGCGGCCUAUCAGCUAGAUGGUGGGGUAACGGCCUACCAUGGCGACGACGGGUAGCUGGUCUGAGAGGACGGCCAGCCGGACUGGGACUGAGAUAC